rnacentral:rRNA from 1 species
AACGCGAAGAACCUUACCUAAGCUUGACAUCCCACUGACCUCUCCCUAAUCGGAGAUUUCCCUUCGGGGACAGUGGUGACAGGUGGUGCAUGGUUGUCGUCAGCUCGUGUCGUGAGAUGUUGGGUUAAGUCCCGCAACGAGCGCAACCCUUGCCUUUAGUUGCCAGCAUUAAGUUGGGCACUCUAGAGGGACUGCCAGGGAUAACCUGGAGGAAGGUGGGGAUGACGUCAAAUCAUCAUGCCCCCUAUGCUUAGGGCUACACACGUGCUACAAUGGGUGGUACAGAGGGCAGCCAAGUCGUGAGGCGGAGCUAAUCCCUUAAAGCCAUUCUCAGUUCGGAUUGUAGGCUGAAACUCGCCUACAUGAAGCUGGAGUUACUAGUAAUCGCAGAUCAGAAUGCUGCGGUGAAUGCGUUCCCGGGUCUUGUACACACCG